GGACCCGCACAAGCGGUGGAGUAUGUGGCUUAAUUCGAUGCAACGCGAAGAACCUUACCUGGGCUUGACAUGCAUUUCUAAGGUCGUGAAAGCGGCCGACCCUUCGGGGGACUUGCACAGGUGCUGCAUGGCCGUCGUCAGCUCGUGUCGUGAGAUGUUGGGUUAAGUCCCGCAACGAGCGCAACCCUUGUGACUGGUUGCCAGCGGGUAAAGCCGGGAACUCGAGUCAGACUGCCCAGAUCAACUGGGAGGAAGGUGGGGACGACGUCAGGUCAGUAUGGCCCUUACGCCCAGGGCUGCACACGUACUACAAUGCCCAGCACAAUGAGAACCGAAGCCGCGAGGCGGAGGAAAUCUAGAAAACUGGGCCCAGUUCGGAUUGGAGGCUGCAACUCGCCUCCAUGAAGUCGGAAUCGCUAGUAAUGGCGCAUCAGCUACGGCGCCGUGAAUACGUUCCCGGGUCUU
rnacentral:rRNA from 1 species